rnacentral:rRNA from 1 species
UACAGAGGUCUCAAGCGUUGUUCGGAUUCAUUGGGCGUAAAGGGUGCGUAGGCGGCGGGGCAAGUCAGGUGUGAAAUCCCGGAGCUUAACUCCGGAACUGCACUUGAUACUGCCUUGCUUGAGGACUGGAGAGGAGAUCGGAAUUCACGGUGUAGCAGUGAAAUGCGUAGAUAUCGUGAGGAAGGCCAGUGGCGAAGGCGGAUCUCUGGACAGUUCCUGACGCUGAGGCACGAAGGCCAGGGGAGCAAACGGG